rnacentral:misc_RNA from 1 species
GAUGAAGAACGUAGUGAAAUGCGAUAAGUAAUGUGAAUUGCAGAAUUCAGUGAAUCAUCGAAUCUUUGAACGCACAUUGCGCCCAUUAGUAUUCCAGUGGGCAUGCCUGUUCGAGCGUCAUUAAGUCCACUUAAGCCCUGCUUAGUGUUGGGAGACUGCUCCAGCGGUGCUACCCUGUAGCUACCCUGCAGCUCCUCAAAGACAGCGGCGGAGUUGUGGUAUCCUCUGAGCUUAGUAACUUGUUCUAGCUUUCGAGUACACCACUUCCCCUGCCGUAAAACCCUUAAUUUUUAAUGGUUGACCUCGGAUCAGGUAGGAAUACCCGCUGAACUUAAGCAUAUCAAUAAGCGGAGGA